CCCUUAGAUGUCCUGGGCCGCACGCGCGCUACACUGACAUGUUCAACAAGCCUCCUAGUUCGACAGGAUUUGGGAAAUCUUUGAACGCAUGUCGUGAUAGGGAUAGAUCAUUGCAAUUAUUGAUCUUGAACGAGGAAUUCCUAGUAAACGCGAGUCAUCAGCUCGCGUUGAUUACGUCCCUGCCCUUUGUACACACCGCCCGUCGCUACUACCGAUUGAAUGGUUUAGUGAGGACUCCUGAUUGGCGCCGCCGCCCCGGCAACGGAGCAGCGGACUGCCGAAAAGUUGUUCAAACUUGAUCAUUUAGAGGAAGUAAAAGUCGUAACA
rnacentral:rRNA from 1 species